UUUUGGCGCCCGAUCUAUUUACACUCUGUUCUGUCUCUCACACAAACAGACACACGAUAUACACUUCUGUGUCAAACACUAGCAAACCUCACCCUCACCAUCCAGACUCACCAUCCUUGCUAACAGUUACCAUCGAACUUCCACCACCGACCAUCGCGACUCUCGCUACCGCCACUGACCAUCGCGGCUCUCGCCACCGUCGCUCACCAUCGCGGCCCCCCUCCCAGCCACAUUCAGGUACUACUCACACAACAAUGAUUACCUUGAAAUAUGUCGCUAUUACAAGGCAAUAUAUGAGAUUCCCUCUGUGAAAGAAGAGCCAGCUAAGUGGAUACCGGUUGUCAAUUGUAAGAAGGGAAAGAUUGCAAUACAGCGGCAGUCUAAACAUAAUAUGUUUCAUCUAAGGAGCUUUUGUAAACCAAACUCCUCUCUUAAAAAUAGAAAGUAACUCCCCUCCUGCAAAGUUCUUUAUAGAAUGAUUUGGACUUUGAAAACACCUUUCUUAGUUGUUUUCCAUCACGAGUUGUGUUCUAUCUCAUUUCUGUGAAAAAUUUUGUGCAAAUUCAUAAAGGAAACAACCAACUCCUAUUCCUAAUUCUGAAGCAAAUCGAGUAAUAGUAGGGGCCUACAACAACUGAUUAGCUGAGAUGCAUACAUUAUUUAUUAUCAAGGUAUCAUCAUCCACCAUAGUCGUAAAGAGUCCUGGAACAUUUCAUACAAAUGGACAUUCCACCCACAUAUUGUGCCAGAAUUUAAUAUUUUGAAGUUUCACACCUUGAGGUGAAGUUGCUUCUUAAAAUAUUCUUACCUUUGAUACUACCAUUCCACAAGCCAACUCAUACAUUUCUCACCUUCUUUGUAAUCAUAAACUGUUUUCCUGAAGCAUUCCCACAGUUCUUCUCCACUAUACUCCACAAAGAAUCUGCCACUUCCUCUGUAGUAGUUGGUUUGCUCUCAACAUACAAAUUCCCAAUCCUUUUCUUGAGAAGUAAGAACAGAUGAUCUGCCACUUCUCUCCUUCCCUUUCCUAAGAUCAAAGAAGACACCACAUCCAAAAUCACCAAAUGCAAAUGAUACUCAAACCCAUGGCAUUGUGAUUUUAAUAAGAGCUUGUUUCCUUAGAUAAACACUACCUCUUUACACUGCUACCCUCCUCUUAGUCUCUUAACCGUAUGGAACAGAAUUUUAGACGAUUUUAGCCUUAAAGGAGGAGCCUAACGACAAAUGCAGGACAAUGGUAUUGUUCCCAUGCCCACAGCCCAAGUUCUCUGCCAUGGCUUAAACUUCUGGUACCGUGCUAAUCAGGUUCUUCUUUUUGUAAUCAUCCUAUUGGGAUCAAUUCACCUUGCCUAUGUUAUUCAUAAGUCAAACAACUUCAAUAAAACACAUCAACACUAGUGAGAAAUCUAAGAUGCCAUUCUUCUGCUCCACAAAAAAUAACAUGACAGAAAGGCAGGUGAGAAACUAAUACAAAUUCUCCUCUAUCCCCCACCAUGAAUCUCUGUACCUCCGUCUUCAACACACCUCACAACUGGUAACACCUCCAUGACUAGAAUAAGAGAAGUGAGCAUAGUUGCUUAAAAUCCCUUGAACUUGAGAAAAAAAGCCCUUUCCUUUUGCCAAUGAUUAGGAUGGAGAAUUUCACCUUGGGGAUAGCACCAAUAAACUAAUCAUUACCAAAAUGUGUAAUAUCUACCACCAUGAUGUUUUAGGGAUCGGUGAAAUAACUGGUACUUCGAUAGUCUUCUCAAACUCUCCAUGCUCAUAGCCUUUGGACAUCUAUUAAUCUUGUGCAAGUGUUAUGUUUUAGCGUGUGCAUAUUGAAGCUACAUUUUGCAAAAUGCUAUUUCUAUCCAUGGAAAUUAGUUACCCUGCUAAUGUCUUUAUUCUAUUGAGUUUCUAAACAGGAAUUUGUGUACUCUUUUUAUUUUUCUUUUUUUCUUUAAAACGCACUCUCUUCUUUUGAUUUCCUAUUUUCAGUUUUUUGUUAGGCCUAUUUGAUAUUUGUUGCAGUCAAUAAUUUGAAAUUCCCUCAUUUAAGAACAAUGAAUUUAUGCUCCUUCUAUUCUUUUCUUUAUAUUGUAUAGAUGAUACAUAGUAUAAAACAUCACACAUGAUAUAUAACUUUUUAUUGACAAUUAUACUAUCUCAAACAAUUAUCACUUAGACCUCGUUUGGGAACAAGCUAAUUUAGUAAUUUUUUGGCUAUUUGGCUAAAAUAUGAGCUAAAAAAAACUAGUAUGUUUGGGAUGACUUUUUAGCUUUUUACGAAAAGAUGUGCAA